rnacentral:lncRNA from 1 species
UGGCUUCGUCCCAUUUGACACAGAUGUUGGACUCUAGAGCAGUGGUUCUCAAAGUGUGCGCCAAGGCGCACUGGUGUGCCCUAGAAGAUUUCCGGGUGCCCCCUAUGAUAUUCCAGGAAAAUAUGUAUCCAGAUAUAAAAAUAAAUAUAGUUACUCUAUUAUACUAUUUCAUUAAGGAAAUGGUGAAUGUUUCAUUUCUCUCCAACUUAAAUAAGCAAUUAUCUGUAAAAAUACUUGUACUUAUAAAUCAUUUAAUGCAUUCUGCAUUGAAUUAGAGUUGCCAGUUUCGAUUUUAUUCAUCUACAAUUCAUACAUCAACAAUUAUCGAGUGGAU